CUCACUGCUGUGGCCUCUCCCGUUGCGGAGCACAGGCUCCGGACGUGCAGGCUCAGCGGCCACGGCUCACGGGCCCAGCCGCUCCGCGGCAUGUGGGAUCUUCCCGGACCGGGGCACGAACCCGUGUCCCCUGCAUCGGCAGGUCAGUCCCAUUUUUAUAAACAGCCAAGAGAUGAAUAGAGGAGAAGAUGCAUGAUUUGUUCACAGAGAGAAAUGGAAGAAGGUCAGCACGCGCAUUGCUGAUGAAGAGAAGGACCCACAUAGACUCCCAAAGCCAGGCCAAAGCAGAAGUCUGGGAUGUGGCCUCAUCCUUCCUGCAAUCCUGGAGACGAGAUGCCACAUCCAAUUUGGCUACUUCAUUUAAUCUAAGGCAAGUUAGAUUUGACUGCUUUGAGGUGCAUAAUAGUACCUCCCACAUGGGAGGGCUGUGAGGA